GAUGAACGCUGGCGGCGUGCUUAACACAUGCAAGUCGAACGGUGAAGCCAAGCUUGCUUGGUGGAUCAGUGGCGAACGGGUGAGUAACACGUGAGCAACCUGCCCUGGACUCUGGGAUAAGCGCUGGAAACGGCGUCUAAUACUGGAUAUGAGACGUGAUCGCAUGGUCGUGUUUGGAAAGAUUUUUCGGUCUGGGAUGGGCUCGCGGCCUAUCAGCUUGUUGGUGAGGUAAUGGCUCACCAAGGCGUCGACGGGUAGCCGGCCUGAGAGGGUGACCGGCCACACUGGGACUGAGACACGGCCCAGACUCCUACGGGAGGCAGCAGUGGGGAAUAUUGCACAAUGGGCGAAAGCCUGAUGCAGCAACGCCGCGUGAGGGAUGACGGCCUUCGGGUUGUAAGCCUCUUUUAGCAGGGAAGAAGCGAAAGUGACGGUACCUGCAGAAAAAGCGCCGGCUAGCUACGUGCCAGCAGCCGCGGUAAUACGUAGGGCGCAAGCGUUAUCCGGAAUUAUUGGGCGUAAAGAGCUCGUAGGCGGUUUGUCGCGUCUGCUGUGAAAUCCCGAGGCUCAACCUCGGGCCUGCAGUGGGUACGGGCAGACUAGAGUGCGGUAGGGGAGAUUGGAAUUCCUGGUGUAGCGGUGGAAUGCGCAGAUAUCAGGAGGAACACCGAUGGCGAAGGCAGAUCUCUGGGCCGUAACUGACGCUGAGGAGCGAAAGGUGGGGGAGCAAACAGGCUUAGAUACCUGGUAGUCCACCCCGUAAACGUUGGGAACUAGUUGUGGGGACCAUUCCACGGUUUCCGUGACGCAGCUAACGCAUUAAGUUCCCCGCCUGGGGAGUACGGCCGCAAGGCUAAAACUCAAAGGAAUUGACGGGGACCCGCACAAGCGGCGGAGCAUGCGGAUUAAUUCGAUGCAACGCGAAGAACCUUACCAAGGCUUGACAUAUACGAGAACGGGCCAGAAAUGGUCAACUCUUUGGACACUCGUAAACAGGUGGUGCAUGGUUGUCGUCAGCUCGUGUCGUGAGAUGUUGGGUUAAGUCCCGCAACGAGCGCAACCCUCGUUCUAUGUUGCCAGCACGUAAUGGUGGGAACUCAUGGGAUACUGCCGGGGUCAACUCGGAGGAAGGUGGGGAUGACGUCAAAUCAUCAUGCCCCUUAUGUCUUGGGCUUCACGCAUGCUACAAUGGCCGGUACAAAGGGCUGCAAUACCGUGAGGUGGAGCGAAUCCCAAAAAGCCGGUCCCAGUUCGGAUUGAGGUCUGCAACUCGACCUCAUGAAGUCGGAGUCGCUAGUAAUCGCAGAUCAGCAACGCUGCGGUGAAUACGUUCCCGGGUCU
rnacentral:rRNA from 1 species